AGAGUUUGAUCAUGGCUCAGAAUCAACGCUGGCGGCGCGCUUAACACAUGCAAGUCGGACGAGAAAGCCGGGGCAACCUGGUGAGUACAGUGGCGUACGGGUGAGUAACACGUGGGUGAUCUACCCUUGAGUGGGGAAUAACGCUGGGAAACCGGCGCUAAUACCGCAUAAACCCGAGAGGGGAAAGCAGCAAUGCGCUGAGGGAGGAGCCCGCGGCCGAUUAGCUGGUUGGUAGGGUAACGGCCUACCAAGGCUGAGAUCGGUAGCCGGCCUGAGAGGGCACACGGCCACACUGGCACUGAAACACGGGCCAGACUCCUACGGGAGGCAGCAGUGGGGAAUCUUGCACAAUGGGGGCAACCCUGAUGCAGCGACGCCGCGUGAGCGAUGAAGCCCUUCGGGGUGUAAAGCUCUUUCGGCAGGGAAGAUGGUGACGGUACCUGCAGAAGCAGCUGCGGCUAACUACGUGCCAGCAGCCGCGGUA
rnacentral:rRNA from 1 species